UACGGAGGGUGCGAGCAUUAAUCGGAUUUAUUGGGCGUAAAGGGCGCGUAGGCGGGAAUGUAAGUCAGAUGUGAAAUCCCGGGGCUCAACCCCGGAACAGCAUUUGAAACUGCAUACCUAGAGGGUAGUCGGAGAAAACAGAAUUCCACAAGUAGCGGUGAAAUGCGUAGAUAUGUGGAAGAAUACCGGUGGCGAAGGCGGUUUUCUAGAUUAUACCUGACGCUGAGGCGCGAAAGCAAGGGGAUCAAACAGG
rnacentral:rRNA from 1 species